rnacentral:misc_RNA from 1 species
UGCCAGCGAUGUCCUUUAAGUGUUGCAAUUGGGAACUAUAGACCCGCUUUGCAUAUUCAGACAGAAGUUGCCCAAGGGCAUCUGUGUUAGGGGGCAGUGCAGCACCCAGUCCCAUCCAGCCAUCCAUAAUUGCAGUUGAAAGAAGUUCUAACUGGCCAGUGCUCCCCCCUGAUGCAUCAUCUCCUGUAACAGAAAGAAAUUCAAAACUUUCUGCUAGCCAGGAUCUAAUUUGCCGCUGCAGCUCACCAGCUGGAGUAUGAACAAAAAGAGCAGCAAGAGCCCUAUUUCCUAUUGCAAAACUUUUUGCCUCCUCUUGAAUUUCCCUUAGUUUUCCACCAGUAACCUGUUGCCUCCAUGUAUCCUGAUCAAUUCCUCGCAUUCUCAAAACAACUGAUGAUAACUUAGACUUCUUUUCUGGCUUUAUAUUCACUUUAAACCCCUGGAUCUGUUCAUCCGCAUAACGCACAGGGGAUCUUCCAGGACUGUUACCUCGGCUGGAACUUCUACUUCGUCCAGUAUUGGCCUUUUCUAAAAAGCACUCAACAGGAGAAACCUUGAUGGACUGCAAUUCUGGGGACCUAGCAAGUAAGGAUCGUAUAUACAAAAUUCUGACCCGGGAAACAAGCAUGGUAUCCAUAACCCUUUUGGGUUCCAUUUUACGGAUAAAAGAGAAUACAGCAGCUCUAAUUUCAGCAAGUAUUUCAUGCUCUCUAGAAGCACCUGCUUUAAUGACUGCUGCCAGAACCAGCAUCAAAAGCUUGUUUGCUCCAUCUGAAAUGGCUGCAAGGCUGUCAUAUUGUUCAGGAUCAAAGUCAUUUAGAGCAGCCGUAAG